rnacentral:rRNA from 1 species
UACGUAGGGUGCGAGCGUUAAUCGGAAUUACUGGGCGUAAAGCGUGCGCAGGCGGUUUUGUAAGCCAGAUGUGAAAUCCCCGGGCUCAACCUGGGAAUGGCAUUUGGGACUGCAAGGCUGGAGUGCGGCAGAGGAGACUGGAAUUCCUGGUGUAGCAGUGAAAUGCGUAGAUAUCAGGAGGAAUACCGAUGGCGAAGGCAGGUCUCUGGGCUGACACUGACGCUCAGGCACGAAAGCGUGGGGAGCAAACAGG